rnacentral:lncRNA from 1 species
AAAAAGAAGGUUUCCGCUCUUUGCUAUGCGUGCAUUUUUAAGACUCCUCGUGCUCUGUGCUUGUGACCUGGGGUUAGGUGAGAGUUGUUUCUAGCACCUACUGGUGGUAGGGAAUUCAAAUUUGAAUUUGAAUUAAAGGUUUUAGGGUUUAUACUUUGGUAUAUGUGCGAUAUACGGAAUUAGAGAGCGGAUGGGUUCCGUCGCGAAUUCGUGACCAAAUCUGACGAAACAAGAUGGUAGUUUUGAUGCCCUCGUCGUGCUGAACGCGAUGGUGCAAUCCGUUCGGAAAUCCGAUGAACGGAUUGUCGAAUAUUGCAUGAAGUUCGCUAAGGGGUCGAGAGUGGAAAAUCGGGAAAUUCGCAAAAGUCGUAAUAUUUUAUGUACCGAAGCACGCGAGAUCGACAUGGAGGUGCGUACAUGCAAAACACAUGCACUGUCAGGGACUCAGAUGAUAACAAUUAUCUUUGGGGGACUUCUCUGCAAAGUUGCAGGUUGUAUAUAAUGUUGCACUAGGAUUUCUUAGCAUGAAACCCUAGAUCUAGCCGACUUGCACCCCCAGUUAACCCUAACCGUCAUCAGCACCUCUAUGCCCUUGCCAUGCGCGCACCCCUGCCGCCGGCGAGCAACCCCGGCCGCCGGAAAAGCUCCACCUCCCUCUCCUCCAUCAUCUCCAUCACCACCUUCACAACCCCCUCGGCCUUCGACAUCAGAGAAGGUCCAAGACACCCUAGGAAGCCUUUUCCUCGGCCGAGACCCUUUCCCGGCGCAGUCCCUGCCGGCCUCCGCCGUCUCCGCGCCCCGCCGGAGCUGCUCGAACUCCCUGCGGCCAGCAGCAGUCACCCAGGUCGAGCCUGGGUGAUCCCUGCCUCCGCGCGCCACCGCCGUUCCCCAUCGGUCGCGCCGCCCUCCGGUGACCUCCGGCGUGCCCCCGCGCGCCAUCGCCGCCGCUCCCGACGCCGCCGGCCGCCGCUCUCCCUCUCCGCGGCCGCCCAAACCUUGAACGGGCCAGGCCUGGUCUUCUCGACCACCGCGCGUCGCCGCCACCCGAAGCAUGGGGCGCCGACCUUCCUCGACCUCCGGCGACGUGCCGCCGUCGCCCCGACCUUCCUCCGGCCGCCGCCAUGGUUGCCGCUACCUUUGAAGCCCGUGGUGAAACCGCGCGGACUCGGUUUGGUCUAGCAUCGCCGCCGCCGUCUUCCGCCGCCGUCCGGCGUGAGCACCAGCUCCGCCUGGCCGGCCGCACUCGUCCGCCGCCGGCACCCCCGCCGCCGGAGCUUCCUGUCUGCCGAACUAGGCUUGUGCCCUCCUCGGGUUUGGGUGACUAGGGCAUCAAUGCCUGCCGUCGCCGCCGCCUCCCGACGCUGGCCGAUGCAUACCUUGGCCUCCCUGCAUUGCCUGAACCCUCCUACCGCCGGCGCUCCCGCCGUCCGGCCGCCGCCGGGCAGCCCAAGCUCUCCCUUGUUCGGUAAGCUUGAUUUCAACCUUUCUACGCAUAGUCUCCUGUUUAGAUCACUGUUCCGGCGACCCAGGGCUGUUCCGAUGCCCCCGGAGGUGAGCACGGUGAUCGUCAGUCAGUUUUGAUCACAAUGCUCACCUCACUUAGGGUAAGAGAGCUCCGGAUGAGUUAGUUACAUGUGUUUUAGUUUCAGUGUGCGCUGUUUCGUUGAACUUCAUGUCGCUCGUGCGCGUCCCACAGUGACCAAAAUUGCUCCAAAAGGUGAGCAUGGCCUUCGGCACACCGAUACCUGUCAGUGGGUGUCUCGGCUUCGCUGAUUCACUUCUGGUUUGUGCAGACGGACCAUAAAAGAGUCGAAAUCGCAUGAAAUAAUGCGAUUUCGGGUAUUCGGAUGGGCUUUUAUGCAACUUUGUUCGUCGUGGCUGCUGUUAGCAGCAAGUAUGGGCUGAGGAUAGCCUCUGGACUGAUCGUCCAAGGCCCCAAGCCUUUGCAGGAAUCAGAAAGCGAUUUCUGGCUCGUUUCUCGGCGAAAUCAGUCGACGAAACGCGGGUUCGGUUCGAAAUUAUUCCGAUGGUGCUUCGUGAUUGAUUGUUUAGUCGUUGAGCCUUGUUGGCUGGUCACUCGCGUCAUUUCAAGGGUUCGGAAAUGACGGGUAAGCGACGGUGGGUUCCGGGGUCGAAUUAGACACUUUCGGGAACCCGGAUUGAAACGAUUAUCCGACGAUAAUUGUUUCGACGAGAGGAGCUGUGGUUGCUGCCAUGAAGCAUGAUUAUUGAUAUUUAGUGGCAGCGGAUGACUCGUAGCACGAGUCGGUGCGUUCCGGGAUAGUUCGUGAGUCCCGACGGAAUCCUGAUGCGAUUUUCGAGACUUCCGACGAGUCACGGUAAUUGGUUUCAGAAAACCGAUCUCCGUGGGUUUGUUUGCGGGAUUAUGAUUUAAUGGUUAUUACUUGUGGGUUAGUCACUAACCCGGUGGACCUUCCGUAGGUCAGGUUGACAUCCUUUCGCAUGUAUGGAGACAUGCGCCGCAACAGUGUACGGUGGUACGUUCGAUCGACGUCCUGGUACUGUGGUGCACUCUGGUGACGUUUCCUUUACCCUUGUUGUUUACUGCUUACCUUUACACGUAGCCCUUGCACCCAUGCUAUUCCAUAUUUACUCAACUAAGUUGUUUCCAAUGUAGUAUCAUUGUGUAGGAGUAGAGUAGACUUUAUUGGUUAUGACAUCUGCGACCUGGUUGGUCGGUUCUUACUUUGCAUAUAUGUGACCCGUUGGUCGGUCUCCUAUUUGAUCGUAUUACUUGUGACAUGAUGGUCGAGUUUCCGUAUCCUGUACUUUGACGGAUUGGUCGAGUUCAUAUCCUAGUUGAUUCUGGUGGUCAGUCUUGUGGUUCAUUGAGCAGUAUUUGCAUAUGUUUGAGAGGAUGUCGAUGUUGUCCAUCCUAGUUGACCUGAGUGGUCGGUUCUUGUGCCUUCUUUACAGUUGACGACCUAUCGGUCGAUGGCCCUGGGGGCAGGAUUGUCGGCUGGUUGCCGACGGUUGAGCAUUGAGCAUAUUGCAUUGAUCGCCCGAUACUCGUCGCAUUUCACAACAACUCGCGGUCUGAUCCACUGCAAGGAUGUUCUUUCGAAAAAGUGGUUGAAUGGUGACACCCGUGUGAGCCCUAGAGAGGUUAUAUGCACUGGAGAGUAGUAGUGGCACUGGCUUGAGGUCUACGGUGCUGACCAAGAGAGCAUUGGUUUCAGAAUUGGGUACUUUUGGACUUCUUGACCGGUUGACACAUAUGUCUAUGUAGCAGUCGUCGCAUGCAUACUUACAGUUCUUACUUUAUAGUUGUCUUGCUGCUAUAGAGAUAUCAUGUAUGCUUUUGGUUCCAUUACAGUAGCGUAGCCGUUAUUCAGUCUAGUUUCUUACUUUCUUUCAGUUUAUUGCUACUGUAUUUAGUAUAUCUGCUCAUUAUCUUAUACAUCUCUUUUGUUACUAUUGUUCCUACUGUAUUUCCACUGACCCGUGUUGUUGUAUAGCUCUUCCUGAUGCCGGUGAGUACUCCUCCCUUUCGGCUUGCGGUACCCACUGGAGGGGAGACACGUUUACAUGUUCUCACUCCCCCACCAUUUUUCAGGUAUCGCAGGCGAUGUGUAUUGGAAUGAGACGCGAGAUACGUACGUUAGCGGUUGAUAGAUCUCCGACCUAGGUUGCUUCGGUUUAGCUCUUACCCUUUUUAAUUUCUGUUGAGUAUAUAGCUUAGAGUGUUUAUUGGUUCAGUAUUUAUUAUUACAUUUGAAAAUAUGGGUUUUCUUGAAGUUAAUAAACUAUGUGUAAUUUGUAAAAUAAAAGGUUUUCUACCCUCUCGGUAGCGUUUUAAAAAGAUAAAGUUCGUGUCGGGAACAGUUUUCAAAGAUUUUCUGUGGAUUUGGCAUCUUAGUAUUUCAAAAUCUGUUUCUGUGGUUGAAACAUUUUAACUGAUAGAUGGGAUUGAUGUUUAAAUAUCGAAUGUAUAAAUAUAGAAUCUGUGGUGAAUGUGUAUGAAUAUAUAUCUGUGUCAUUUGUAUGUUCAUUUGUUGUGGUUGGCCUGGGUGAAUCUCUUGUACUUGUGGCGACGCUGUGCAAAUACAGGGGAGACUCUGUCCGUCUGAACAGUUGAUUUCCUGUGUUGUGGCGGAUAUGGCAUACUUUGGGUCAGGCUUUUCAAAAAAAAAAAAAAAUUCAGACACUUUUUGCUAUGUUUUAAACUAAAAGGGACCCCGGGGCCGGACAAUUAAUCUAAUUCGAUUCAUGCUUAAUCCAUCCAAAACAAUUUAGUUUUUAUUUGGGGUAUUAAAAUUUUUUAACAAUAUUUAACGCCCUAUGGCGUACCAAAUUUUUAAGACUCGUCAAAAUUAAAUUUACUAUCUUAUAUAAGGAAAAAUCUACUAUCAUAAAUUAAAAUUCAAAUUAUCAAAUUGCGGUAUUAAAUUUUAGCGAUAUUACAAAUUUAAAAUUUAAUUUUGAAUACUACGUGUUGGCAGGUAUUUGUUUGAGAAAAAAAUAUUGAGAAAUGUGUGGAUAUGAAAUAAUUUAAUUUACAUAUACGUGAUUAGCGGAGUCAUUUACGUGAUUGCGGUAUUACGUGAUUGUGUGGUAGAAAAAAAAAUAUUGAGAAACGCAGUAUAGAUAGGAGAUAACGGAUAUAAAGGGUAUUUGUCAACAAAAAUGACAGAUACUUUUAUUUUUAUUGCGUUCAAUGAGAUCUAAUAGCGAAAACUUAAGAUCCAUAUUUGAUGAAUAAAAUAUUAUUUAAAAUUAUUAAAAUGGAUGGUUGAAAAUGUUGACAUGACAAUAUAGUAAAAAACAUAGAAUAUUUUUGGAAAGAAAAAUUUCAAAACUCACGUUUUUAUAAGGAUAUAUAUAUAUAUAUAUAUAUAUAUAUAUAUAUAUAUUCUUGAUGGAAAUAAUGAGUACGAUGGAAGGUCAAAUUUGUAAAUCUGAAGUCUUAGGAAAGACGCAGCUGUCAACUUAAAUAAGGUAGGUGAAGGUUAUCUUUCUUGCUUUAAUGAAUAGUGCGUAAUAAUAGAUCAUGAGUUUCACCCCCCACCUACUCUUUAUUUCCUCUACAAUUAUUUGGGUCUACCCCGCUUGAACACACACCUCAUCUGGAUAUCCCAAAUCUCAUUAUUUGAAUUGGAAUUGCCAUUUAAAUCGAUAUUAAGUUCCUUAUUUGGAGUUUUACUUUGUUCCGAAUUAAAUUGAUUCAACUGAUUUAGUUGUAUUUUUAGCGAGUGCCACCACCACCUCCACCAUCCACAAGCCGAUACCGACUACCAGUCUAUCUUUUAUAUGGAAAUCGCAUUUUAUCUCAUCUUGAAUAACAAAAGUGAAUUGAUUUCAAUUCAAUUCCAGUUUGUAGCAAACUAGUGAAUUUGACUCCAAAUCCGAUUCACUUGAGUGAUUUCAUUUGUAAAUCAAUCAAAUUCUAUUUGAAUUAGGCUUAUAACAUUGUUAGGUCCCAAGUGUCACGGACAAAAUAUUUUUCGCUGAUUUCUCCUUGACAGUGGCCCAAAUCUGCUUAGCGAGUUCGGGUUGGUAACGGGUCGAAUCAGGUUGUCAAUACCCAAAUCCAAUCUGCUGUGGGAAACUCAAGGGUUAUGAAACUCAUGGGAGUUAUGGGUGACUCUUGAGCUUUUGGUCAUUAUGAGGGCUCAUUACUAUGAAAUAGUGGGUGAGUUAAUAUGUGUCAUAAUGAGAGAGUUAGUGUGUGUCUAGGUUCAUUGUAUCUAGGAGCUUAUAAGUAGUGAGGUUUGGUUAAGGCCAAACACACAAGAGAGAGUGUGUGUAUGUGUGGGUUGUAAUUCUCAUUUUCUAAGUAGUGUAGUACUUAGCUUUUUGAGAGAAUCUCUGCCUUUUUUUCUUGUGUCAUUCCCUUCGCAUACUUAGUCGUAGGACACGAAGGUCCGGACUAGCAAUAGGGACGAAGGCUUAUCCAUCUUCUGAGCAGGAAGGUGGGCGCCGCACGGACUUUGCGAACGAAAACGCUAAGGCCGUGACACAAGUCUCCCUUUUGGCUAAACAAAGUCCUAAACCCUAAUAAGCGCACAGACAUAAUAGAAUAUCAAAAUUUUUAAUUCUUUUCAUGCCUUUGAGCAAUGAUUUUGAAAAUUUUUUUCCAAUGUACAAAACUCACUGAAAAUAGCUUCUUGUAAAAUACUAGCUAGAAACAGUUGGUUAGUAACUUCAAAUUAAUUUUGAAAGUUAAAAAGAAAAAAAAAAAAGGCUAAAUAAGUACAUCGAAUAUAUGUACUUAUUCUCUGGAUAUUAAGUUUCGACAAUAGAAGAAAUGGAGUAAAAUCAUCAUAUACCUAUUAUUGUAAUAAAUUCUAUGCAAAAUCAAUUAUUCCCUUAUGCUUUAUCAUUAGUUCAUACAAGUCUAGCUAUUUGAGAUAAUUGAUGAAUUCAACAAGAAAAUUUUAUAAAAAUAAACUUGCAUAUAAUAUUAUCUAUAAGUAAUGCAAUAGAAUCAUAUAAAUUGAACAAAUUGCUCAAUAAACUAUCAAUUUUGAUAGUAUUAGCAAAUAGAAUAUCUCCUUUACUUAGCAAAUAGAAUAUCUCCUUUAUUUUGAUUUUUUUUUAUAUUUUUUAGCUGUUGAGAUGUGGAAUAAUGUGAUGUACCAAUGCUUGUUUUAACGAAAUUUUACAGCCUAAUCUACCAAGUUUUUAAAUUUUUUGGAUCUAUUUGAGAUAAUAACAAAAUAUAUAGGAAGUAAUUAAUAAAAUUUUUGAUUUAGAAGAGUAAUGAAGACUUGGGACAAAGUGCAAGGGGGAUUUUUAUAAUUAGCCAAAGAUUUAUUAUACAGAAUAUUGGUAUCAAGUGUUUAUUAAACCUUGGUGCGUGAUAAUCUUUUUGCAACAAUCAAACAAGCCAAAAACAAGAAACAUUCAGUAAUGGUACCAAUACUCAAAAUAAAAAAAAAGAAAAAAAAAAAAAAGAGAAAAGAAAAGAAUUGGAACAAAGUUCACUACAAUAAAAAUAGUGUAUAGCGACACUUUUAAAUAUCGGUAUAGAUAAAAAAAAAGUGAUGCUGUCUAAAUUACCGACACUUUUUAAAAGUGUUGCUAUAUGUGCCACGCCCCGAGACCUACCUAUUUGGCCGGAUUCGGGCACGCCGACAGACCGCCGAACGGACAGAGUCACCCACUACAAAAAAGUUGAUUUGUGGCGACAGUUAAUUUAGUAACACUUAACACAAGCGCAGGCAAAAAUAUAUUUUAGCAGCGGUUUUAACUAAUUAUUAUAACAAUUUUAAACCGUCGGUAUAUAGUAAUAUAAUAAUUUUUAUGACGGUUUUUUUUAGUAACACUUAACAUAAGUGUUGGCAAAACUAUAUUUUGGAUUCAAUUUUUUU